UCUGGGAUUAGAUACCCCACYAUAGUUUUUYUAAAGAGGGGACUACGAUUACUUAAAAGAUUAAAACCCAAAGAAUUUGGCGGCGUUCCACCCCUAACCAGAGGAGUUUGUACUAUAAACGAUAUUCCGCGAGACAAACCUACCACUCUUAGCCUAUCAGUUUGUAUACCAUCGUCGUCAGCUAACCUUAAAAAAGACGUUAGCAAAAAGUUUUAAUAAACCUAACUUCAGAUCAAGGUGCAACUCAUAGAGUGGAAAGUAUGAACUACAAAGGUUUUAACAAAAGCAGAUAAAGAAUGAAAAAUCUUUAAUAAGGAGAAUUUGGAAGUAAUCUUUCUAAAGAAUAAGAAGAUGAAAGUAGAAACUGGAACGUGCACACACCGCCCGUCACCCUCCUCAA
rnacentral:rRNA from 1 species